CCAAACUUGGUCAUUUAGAGGAAGUAAAAGUCGUAACAAGGUUUCCGUAGGUGAACCUGCGGAAGGAUCAUUAUUGAAUAUGCUUGAUAGGUUGUAGCUGGCUCGCUUGGAGCAUGUGCACGCUUGUCUUGACUUUAUUCAUCCACCUGUGCACCUUUUGUAGUCUUGAGUGAAUUGGAUCCGAGGAUCGGAGGAGACUCCGGAUGUGAGGAAUGCUAUGGGCUUUUCUCUAAUGGAUCUAGCUCGAGUACUAUGUAUGUUUCAUAUACUACUUGCAUGUUGUAGAAUGUGAUCAAUGGGAAUAAUGAAUAUACAACUUUCAGCAACGGAUCUCUUGGCUCUCGCAUCGAUGAAGAACGCAGC
rnacentral:misc_RNA from 1 species